UACGGGGGGGGCAAGCGUUGUUCGGAAUUACUGGGCGUAAAGGGCUCGUAGGCGGCCAACUAAGUCCGACGUGAAAUCCCCAGGCUUAACCUGGGAACUGCGUCGGAUACUGGAUGGCUUGAAUUCGGGAGAGGGAUGCAGAAUUCCAGGUGUAGCGGUGAAAUGCGUAGAUAUCUGGAGGAAUACCGGUGGCGAAGGCGGCAUCCUGGACCGGCAUUGACGCUGAUGAGCGAAAGCUAGGGGAGCAAACGGGG
rnacentral:rRNA from 1 species